UGAAUUUUCACCAAAUAUUUAGUAAAAAGAGUAUGAUGAAAGAAAAGUUGUAUUUUUAAGUGUUUUUAUAUAGGAAUUUUAAAAUAUAGGAUAUUGAAACAUUCAGUUAGUAUGUUUCUUUAAUUUUUUUUCUCCCUGAAAUUAUAGGAACCAGAUGUUAAAAAAUUAGAAGACCAACUUCAAGGCGGUCAAUUAGAAGAGGUGAUUCUUCAGGCUGAACAUGAACUAAAUCUGGCAAGAAAAAUGAAGGAAUGGAAACUAUGGGAGCCAUUAGUGGAAGAGCCUCCUGCCGAUCAGUGGAAAUGGCCAAUAUAAUUAUUAAGUGACUUUGGUGUGUUGAUGGGAAACUGAUGUAAUUAAAUAUUCUGUUAUAUUAAGAGCGUGUUCUUAUUACUGACAUUUUGUAAUCAAGAAAAGUGAUAUAAAAAAUAUGUUGGAGACUGUUAAAAUUGGUGAUUCUGGUAAUGUGGUCAUGUGAAUCCAUUUUUGAUUUAUAAAGUAUUCACACAAGUUAUUUCAGAGAUGAUAUUUCUGUGAACAGAGGCCAUGGGAAGAUUUGAAAAUUAUUAAAGAAAAAUUCCUACAGAUCUUCAAU
rnacentral:sRNA from 1 species